rnacentral:rRNA from 1 species
UGGGGAAUAUUGGACAAUGGGCGAAAGCCUGAUCCAGCCAUGCCGCGUGUGUGAAGAAGGUCUUCGGAUUGUAAAGCACUUUAAGUUGGGAGGAAGGGCUGCAAGUUAAUACCUUGUGGUUUUGACGUUACCAACAGAAUAAGCACCGGCUAACUUCGUGCCAGCAGCCGCGGUAAUACGAAGGGUGCAAGCGUUAAUCGGAAUUACUGGGCGUAAAGCGCGCGUAGGUGGUUUGGUAAGAUGGAUGUGAAAUCCCCGGGCUCAACCUGGGAACUGCAUCCANAACUGCCUGACUAGAGUACGGUAGAGGGUGGUGGAAUUUCCUGUGUAGCGGUGAAAUGCGUAGAUAUAGGAAGGAACACCAGUGGCGAAGGCGACCACCUGGACUGAUACUGACACUGAGGUGCGAAAGCGUGGGGAGCAAACA